GCGUAAUGGAUCCCAAGUAUGCGACUGUGCUGUGCCACUGUGCGGCUGAUGGGCUGAUCGUUAAGAAGAGAUUUUUCUAAUUCGUUGUUUUACUGGCCCGUACAGUUCUGAUCAAUUUAACAUUUAAAGACGCCAGCAACCAACUGGAAUACUAUGUAUUGCAUUAUGGGAACUGCAUUGCCGUUGCUCAUUUGAAUAGUUAAGGACCAAUUUAACAUUCCUGACCAUCCACAAUCGGCCGCGCCAAAUUUAUUGUGUAUCCGUAUUGACAAUCGGACGGUACUGAACACUGGAUUCCGGAGCAUUAUUUUAAACCUGAUGUUGUUACCUCUUAAACUAGCUCGAUUUCCGGGGAUAUACACCACGCAAGGAUCAUCUGUAUUCAGAAGUGUGCCACUCGGAAAGCCCUAUCAGUCCAAGGAAGAGUGUACUUAUAUUAAUCAUUCUUCAUGCGUAAUGAAUGCUUAUGAAAAAUACUGCGUGGAUAAAUUAAAAUUGAUUGUAUAAGCAUGGCAGAACUAUACUAUUAACAGUAUAGUACUGCCAUGGUAUAAGAUAUUUUACUUUUUCAUCGCUUUAUUUGUUUAUGGUUCGCGUACUGCUUUGACCAUUACUGUACUCGUGUUCGCGUACGGUUCGCGUGCUCUUUCCGACUUUGAUUAGUCUCCCAGAAAAGAAGUACAUGCGUACAUGCAAUUUUACACUUUUUUCCGUCCAGACAAUAUACUUAUUGUCAGAUCUAUGGUAUACACUGGACAAACGUACUCACACUGAAGCAAGCUCCCAAAAGAAAGAUAGCGCAUCCGCAGAGAAUAAAUCCGGAGCUGCAUACAGUGUUGGCGUUAAUAUCCAGUUCAACCGGAAACGAUGACUGGGCAGCCGGCCUGGGGAGAAGCAUUCCUGCUGCCGCUCCCACGUUGAA